rnacentral:rRNA from 1 species
GACGGAGGGUGCUAGCGUUGUUCGGAAUUACUGGGCGUAAAGGGCGCGUAGGCGGCCUGGUCAGUCGGAUGUGAAAGCCCGGGGCUCAACCCCGGAACGGCAUCCGAGACGGCCAGGCUGGAGACCGGGAGAGGAGAGUGGAAUAGCCAGUGUAGAGGUGAAAUUCGUAGAUAUUGGCUGGAACACCGGUGGCGAAAGCGGCUCUCUGGCCCGGUACUGACGCUGAGGUGCGAAAGCGUGGGGAGCAAACAGG